GCCCAAAAUGGUAAUCUCCAGUCGUGAGGCUGGCGAAUUGUAAUCUGAAGAUCGUAGGCCUAACGGUGCGUGUCGCAGAAGUGUCCCGAACGGACCGCCAAAGAGGGUGAGAGCCCCGUCUGUGGUGACAUGCGCUACCGGGCCUGCAAUCAAAGAGUCGUGUACGCUGAUACGCGUGCACUAAGCGGGAGAUUAACUUCUUCUAAGGCUAAAUAUAUGUAGGAAACCGAUAGCGAACAAGUACUGUGAAGGAAAGAUGAAAAGCCCUUUGAAAAGAGGGAUGAAAUAGACUUGAAAUCGUAUAGGCGGAAGCGGUAGAAAUGAAUUCUACGUCAGCCCUCAGAGGCCCUGCCUAAAGCAUUAGCUGGAAGCGGAGCUGUACAGAGCUGGAGUGAGGCAAGAUGGAGUCGUGCGAUGCCAGAGGCGGCGGAGAUCUGAGUAGUUUACUGCUAAUCUUUGUUGGCUGGGUGUUGCAUGGCUUGAGGGGCCUUGUGCGAUCUUGUCAAAAUGGUUUUUACCGACCCGUCUUGAAACACGGACCAAGGAGUCUAAGACUAACGCGAGUAUGGUGGUGGAAAAACCAACAUGCGAAAUGAAAGUAAUUGAUGCCAAGGCAACAGCAGCAUCGACCGACUUUGCAUACCAAGUAAGGUUUGAGUGAGAGCGUUAUUCUUAGGACCCGAAAGAUGGUGAACUAUGCCUGAGUAGGGUGAAGUCAGGG
rnacentral:rRNA from 1 species